GGCGCUAUAGUGUAGUGGUUAUCACUCGGGAUUUUGAUAAUAUAUUCCCGAAACCCAGGUUCGAACCCUGGUAGCGCCU